rnacentral:rRNA from 1 species
AAACCAGCACCUCAAGUGGUCAGGAUGAUUAUUGGGCCUAAAGCAUCCGUAGCCGGCUCUGUAAGUUUUCGGUUAAAUCUGUACGCUCAACGUACAGGCUGCCGGAAAUACUGCAGGGCUAGGGAGUGGGAGAGGUAGACGGUACUCGGGGGGAAGGGGUAAAAUCCUUUGAUCUCUCGAUGACCACCUGUGGCGAAGGCGGUCUACCAGAACACGUCCGACGGUGAGGGAUGAAAGCUGGGGGAGCAAACCGGAUUAGAAACCCGAGUAGUCC